rnacentral:rRNA from 1 species
UACGUAGGCAGCAAGCGUUGUUCGGAAUUACUGGGCGUAAAGAGUGUGUAGGCGGUGCUCUAAGUUCGGUGUGAAAUCUCCCGGCUCAACUGGGGAGGGUCACGCGAUACUGUUCGACUCGAAGGCAGGAGAGGGAAGCGGAAUUCCCGGUGUAGUGGUGAAAUGCGUAGAUAUCGGGAGGAACACCAGUGGCGAAGGCGGCUUCCUGGCCUGUUCUUGACGCUGAGGCGCGAAAGCUAGGGUAGCAAACGGG